rnacentral:rRNA from 1 species
GUCCACGCUGUAAACGAUGAACACUAGGUGUCGUGGGUAUUGACCCCCGCGGUGCCGCAGCUAACGCAUUAAGUGUUCCGCCUGGGAAGUACGGUCGCAAGACUAAACUCAAAGGAAUUGACGGGGGCCCGCACAAGCGGUGGAGCAUGUGGUUUAAUUCGACGCAACGCGCAGAACCUUACCUGGGCUGGAAAGUCAUCGGAACCCUGAUGAAAGUUGGGGGUGCUCGCAAGAGAGCCGGUGGACAGGUGCUGCAUGGCUGUCGU